UGGGGAAUUUUCCGCAAUGGGCGAAAGGCCUGACGGAGCAAUGCCGCGUGGAGGCGGAAGGCCUACGGGUCGUCAACUUCUUUUCUCGGAGAAGAAACAAUGACGGUAUCUGAGGAAUAAGCAUCGGCUAACUCUGUGUCAG
rnacentral:rRNA from 1 species